rnacentral:misc_RNA from 1 species
GGCCCCCUGCUCUUGGGCAGCCUGACCGCCGGGCUCGGCUGCCUCCUCAUUGUCGGCUCCAUGACGGGGUUUCCCUUGCAUUAUAGCGCUGCUUGUGUGGUCUAGCCCCCUCCUCGGGGAAUCGGUCACUUCGGUGGAUCCGCUCGGUCGGCCCUUCCACGGCAUUCGUGCCGGGUUGCCGCUUAUGGUCUGCGCUCGCGCGCGCCGCCUCGGAGGGUUCACUCUGCUGGCGUCGCCGUGCUGGCACGGUAUCGGUCUCGUUGGUUGCGGUUGAGCACGCGGCCAUUGCGGGCCCCCCACCCCGGGGGUCCCUUUGCCCAAAUAGUAGCUGCGCGGUCGCAGUUUGGCUGAUUUCGGACGUACCUUGGCGGGGCGUGGUGCUUCGGCUCUAUCGUCGCCGCCGGCAAAGGUUCUGUGCUACC